rnacentral:rRNA from 1 species
ACCUUCGGGCCUCUCGCGUCAGGAUAUGCCUAGGUGGGAUUAGCUAGUUGGUGAGGUAAGGGCUCACCAAGGCGACGAUCCCUAGCUGGUCUGAGAGGAUGAUCAGCCACACUGGAACUGAGACACGGUCCAGACUCCUACGGGAGGCAGCAGUGGGGAAUAUUGCACAAUGGGCGCAAGCCUGAUGCAGCCAUGCCGCGUGUGUGAAGAAGGCCUUCGGGUUGUAAAGCACUUUCAGUCGUGAGGAAGGUAGUGUAGUUAAUAGCUGCAUUAUUUGACGUUAGCGACAGAAGAAGCACCGGCUAACUCCGUGCCAGCAGCCGCGGUAAUACGGAGGGUGCGAGCGUUAAUCGGAAUUACUGGGCGUAAAGCGCAUGCAGGUGGUUUGUUAAGUCAGAUGUGAAAGCCCGGGGCUCAACCUCGGAAUAGCAUUUGAAACUGGCAGACUAGAGUACUGUAGAGGGGGGUAGAAUUUCAGGUGUAGCGGUGAAAUGCGUAGAGAUCUGAAGGAAUACCGGUGGCGAAGGCGGCCCCCUGGACAGAUACUGACACUCAGAUGCGAAAGCGUGGGGAGCAAACAGGAUUAGAUACCCUGGUAGUCCACGCCGUAAACGAUGUCUACUUGGAGGUUGUGGCCUUGAGCCGUGGCUUUCGGAGCUAACGCGUUAAGUAGACCGCCUGGGGAGUACGGUCGCAAGAUUAAAACUCAAAUGAAUUGACGGGGGCCCGCACAAGCGGUGGAGCAUGUGGUUUAAUUCGAUGCAACGCGAAGAACCUUACCUACUCUUGACAUCCAGAGAACUUUCCAGAGAUGGAUUGGGCCUUCGGGAACU